rnacentral:rRNA from 1 species
CUCAUCACAUCCUGGGGCUGUAGUAGGUCCCAAGGGUUGGGCUGUUCGCCCAUUAAAGUGGUACGCGAGCUGGGUUCAGAACGUCGUGAGACAGUUCGGUCCCUAUCCGUCGCAGGCGUAGGAAAUUUGAGAAGACCUGUCCUUAGUACGAGAGGACCGGGAUGGACGUACCUCUGGUGUACCAGUUGUCCUGCCAAGGGCAUGGCUGGGUAGCUAUGUACGGAAUGGAUAAGCGCUGAAAGCAUCUAAGCGCGAAGCCAACUUCAAGAUAAGAUUUCCCACCGCAAGGGUAAGACCCCAGAAAGACUAUCUGGUUGAUAGGUCGAAGGUGUAAGUGCAGCAAUGUAUUUAGCUUAUCGAUACUAAUAGGUCGAGGACUUGACCAAU